UAUUGGACAAUGGGCGAAAGCCUGAUCCAGCAAUGCCGCGUGAGUGAUGAAGGCCUUAGGGUUGUAAAGCUCUUUUACCCGGGAUGAUAAUGACAGUACCGGGAGAAUAAGCUCCGGCUAACUCCGUGCCAGCAGCCGCGGUAAUACGGAGGGAGCUAGCGUUGUUCGGAAUUACUGGGCGUAAAGCGCACGUAGGCGGCUUUGUAAGUUAGAGGUGAAAGCCUGGAGCUCAACUCCAGAAUUGCCUUUGAUACUGCAUCGCUUGAAUCCAGGAGAGGUGAGUGGAAUUCCGAGUGUAGAGGUGAAAUUCGUAGAUAUUCGGAAGAACACCAGUGGCGAAGGCGGCUCACAGGUGACUGGUAUUGACGCGAGGGCGAAA
rnacentral:rRNA from 1 species